GAUGAACGCUGGCGGCGGGCCUAAUACAUGCAAGUCGAGCGAACGGACGAGAAGCUUGCUUCUCUGAUGUUAGCGGCGGACGGGUGAGUAACACGUGGAUAACCUACCUAUAAGACUGGGAUAACUUCGGGAAACCGGAGCUAAUACCGGAUAAUAUUUUGAACCGCAUGGUUCAAAAGUGAAAGACGGUCUUGCUGUCACUUAUAGAUGGAUCCGCGCUGCAUUAGCUAGUCGGUAAGGUAACGGCUUACCAAGGCAACGAUGCAUAGCCGACCUGAGAGGGUGAUCGGCCACACUGGAACUGAGACACGGUCCAGACUCCUACGGGAGGCAGCAGUAGGGAAUCUUCCGCAAUGGGCGAAAGCCUGACGGAGCAACGCCGCGUGAGUGAUGAAGGUCUUCGGAUCGUAAAACUCUGCUAUUAGGGAAGAACAUAUGUGUAAGUAACUGUGCACAUCUUGACGGUACCUAAUCAGAAAGCCACGGCUAACUACGUG
rnacentral:rRNA from 1 species